AAAGGGAGACCUAAUUCAGGUAUGGGACGAAAAAAAAGUAGUCCCUACCAAGAAUCAAUCCCAAAAGGUCGGAACGAGGCAUGAGGCUUUCAAACUAGGUUCUGGGUUCAUAAAAGACCUGAAUCAGGAACAAGGGCUAUUAGCUCAGGUGGUUAGAGCGCACCCCUGAUAAGGGUGAGGUCCCUGGUUCGAGUCCAGGAUGGCCCACCUGCACAGGUGGCAAAAACAAGAGAAGCGAGGAAUCAGCACCUUAUCUUAUUUAUAUAUAAGAGAGAAUGCUGGCUCUGAGUACAGAGUCCAGAGGAACCUUGAAAACUGCAUAGAGCUAGGUGAAAAAGCCAAAAAAGAAGACCGCAAG
rnacentral:tRNA from 1 species